rnacentral:rRNA from 1 species
AGAGCGAACGCUGGCGGCGUGCUUAACACAUGCAAGUCGAGUGCGCGCCUGUAGCAAUACAGGUGGCGCACGGCGCACGGGUGCGUAACACGUGGGUAAUCUGCCCUUCGAUGGGAAUAACUCCGGGAAACCGAAGCUAAUUCCGCAUAACAUUCCUUGGACCUCGGUCUGGGGAUUCAAAGCCGUAAGGCGUCGGAGGAGGAACCCGCGCACGAUUAGUUAGUUGGCAGGGUAACGGCUACCAGACUUUGAUCGUUA